UGCCGGCUUAGCUCAGUGGUAGAGCAGCGCUUUUGUAAAGCGAAGGUCAACGGUUCAAAUCCGCUAGCCGGCAUC
rnacentral:tRNA from 1 species